CAUUUCUGUUACAAGCAUCUUUUAUACAUAUUACUAAAGAGAACAUAGUAAGAAAUGCAAAUAAUAGUUCUUUAUUUUAUUAUGACAGUUAAUUAAUAGCAACCUGUUUUAAUGAAUAAAGUCACUCAGAGUCCUUCAGCACUUCCUAAGUAGAGGCCUGAAUCUGUAGGGAUUCUUUUCCCCCCAAUUGUAUAGCUCCUAAACUCCAAGCACUAUAUAGGCCCCUGUAUAGAAAUGCUCACUAAUGAAGAGGGAGGGCUAGAAGCUUGUCUGCAUUCAAAGAUCACUGGUGAGUCAUUCAGCAAGAAAAGGCCCCUUACCAGGAAUAGUCACAGUUCCGUGGCAUUGUACUAGCGAAAGGGUCUGAUCAAAGGUCUCCUGUGGAGCUUGCAUGGUUCCCUUUCAUACUACGACCAUAAUUAAAACCACUAAUUCUCUUUUAAAAUGCUGCAGGAUGCCAUGUAGGCAUCUGUCUGGAGUGUCCUUUGUGAUGUCAUAAGCUGUUAAGGACCAGUGCCGAGGGCUUUUGAGUGAAAUGCCAGUCAUGAAGGUGCUUCAAGACAAGGGUGCCUCUAAAAGCUUGACAGGGCCUUGACUGCACAAUUCGAGCUGAAUUUGCCCCUUGUCAGCUGCCAGUAAAUAAAUCUCAAAGGGGGAAAAGCUGAAGUUUCAUUACCUGAUCCAUGGGGCUUUGUUGGUUUUGGCACCACACAGGGGAAGCCCUUGCCCCUCCAUUCUCUGGAUUUGAAGAUUGUCAAUAGUUGUAACAGUUCAGCUGUUAGGAAGACAAAUAAAUGGAGGAGCUCAUUAAUCCGCUUUUGGCUCUCAGUGCCUUUUGCCCUUUUAUCACAGCCUUAUUAGGCUCCUACUCAUCUUGAACCAGAAAAAAAUGAAUUGAAGUUGUUGAGUACUAAUUGGCAAAGACUUUUAAUCAUGGGCCAAGAACUUUCACUGACUUGAAAGUAACUUCUCCACAGGGAAGAACCAAAAACCUGGUUUACCUUAAAACAAAAAACCUGUUGGAGUUCAGUGUGGUGUAAAAAUUUAAGGAAGCAUUGAGAAAUUGUCUCAAUUGAUCCAUUUGAAAGAAUUAUGUAAGAUUAUGAUUUCUACUUUUCUUUUUAAACACUGCAAUAAAAUUCAUAUACUCAUUCCCUGGAAAUGCACUGUCUUUAUUUUUUCAGAAGAGACACUAUGUGUGUGUGUGAGAUGAUCAUGUUGGGUUUUGAAAUCUAUAUUCUGUAUAGGGAGUGAUAUGUAAAUAUUCAUUUCAGCAUCUACCUACACAUCUUGUUUUAGAGUAAUUUCCGACUUAUGGCCAUAAGUAUGGCAAAUGAAGGCCUCUUUUUAAAAAAUAUCUGCAUUUUAAAUGUCUG
ensembl:lncRNA